rnacentral:rRNA from 1 species
UACGAAGGGGGCGAGCGUUGUUCGGAAUUAUUGGGCGUAAAGAGCUCGUAGGCGGUCUGUCGCGUCUGCUGUGAAAACUCAGGGCUUAACCCUGAGCUUGCAGUGGGUACGGGCAGACUAGAGUGCGGUAGGGGAGACUGGAAUUCCUGGUGUAGCGGUGAAAUGCGCAGAUAUCAGGAGGAACACCGGUGGCGAAGGCGGGUCUCUGGGCCGAUACUGACGCUGAGGAGCGAAAGCGUGGGGAGCGAACAGG